rnacentral:rRNA from 1 species
UAUAUUGAUAUAAACUAUUUAAUAUGAUAUCUAGUAAUAUAGUACCAUAAAGUAGUCUAAUAUAUUAUUAUAUAUUCC